rnacentral:rRNA from 1 species
UAAGGAAUAUUGGUCAAUGGAGGCAACUCUGAACCAGCCAUGCCGCGUGAAGGAUGAAGGUCCUCUGGAUUGUAAACUUCUUUUAUGUGGGACGAAACCCGGGAAUUCUUUCCCGAUUGACGGUACCAUAGGAAUAAGCACCGGCUAACUCCGUGCCACCAGCCGCGGUAAUACGGAGGGUGCAAGCGUUAUCCGGAUUCACUGGGUUUAAAGGGAGCGUAGGAGGGCAGGUAAGUCAGUGGUGAAAUCCUGGGGCUUAACCCCAGAACUGCCGUUGAUACUAUCUGUCUUGAAUAUUGUGGAGGUGAGCGGAAUAUGUCAUGUAGCGGUGAAAUGCUUAGAUAUGACAUAGAACACCAAUUGCGAAGGCAGCUCGCUACACAUAUAUUGACUCUGAGGCUCGAAAGCGUGGGGAUCAAAC